rnacentral:rRNA from 1 species
AGGUCAAGCAUUAAGAGCGCAGGGUGGAUGCCUUGGCACUGAGAGCCGAUGAAGGACGUGAUAAGCUGCGAAAAGCUUCGGGGAGGAGCAAAUAUCCAUUGAUCCGGAGAUAUCCGAAUGGGGAAACCCACUUGAGCAAACCUCAAGUAUCCAUACGCCAAUCCAUAACGUAUGGAAGGGAACCGGGGGAACUGAAACAUCUAAGUACCCCGAGGAGAAGAAAGAAACCUCGAUUUCCAAAGUAGCGGCGAGCGAAAUGGAAAGAGCCCAAACCGUGGUGCGUGCACCGCGGGGUUGUGGACUGCAUAAGGUACUCGAAUCAAUAGCCGAACAGUUUUGGGAAAUCUGAUCAGAGAGGGUGAAAAUCCCGUAGGCGAAAUUGAUGAGAGGCUGGCAGGAUCCAGAGUACCACGAGACACGGGAAACCUUGUGGGAAGCAGGAGGGACCACCCUCCAAGGCUAAAUACUCCUCAGUGACCGAUAGCGCAUAGUACUGUGAAGGAAAGGUGAAAAGGACCCCGGGAGGGGAGUGAAAGAGAACCUGAAACCCUGUGUUUACAAGCUGUGGAAGUGCCUUAUGUGCACAACCGCGUACUUUUUGUAGAACGGUCCGGCGAGUUACGUUUACUGGCAAGGUUAAGUACUCUAGGUACGGAGCCGAAGGGAAACCAAGUCUUAAGAGGGCGCAGAGUCAGUAAGAGUAGACCCGAAACCGGGUGAUCUACCCAUGUCCAGGCUGAAGCUGCCGUAAGAGGUAGUGGAGGGCCGAACGCACAUCCGUUGAAAAGGGUGGCGAUGAGGUGUGGGUAGGGGAGAAAUUCCAAUCGAACCCGGAGAUAGCUGGUUCUCCUCGAAAUAGCUUUAGGGCUAGCCUCGAUGGAGUCUUACGGAGGUAGAGCACUGAAUUUCUAAGGGGGCGUCAAAGCUUACCAAGGGAUAUCAAACUCCGAAUGCCGUAAAGAUGCUCAUCGGGAGUCAGACUGCACGAGAUAAGUUGGGCAGUCAAAAGGGAAAGAGCCCAGACCUGCUGCUAAGGUCCCAAAGUACGUGUUAAGUGGAAAAGGAUGUGGGAUUUCGAAGACAACUAGGAUGUUGGCUCAGAAGCAGCCACACAUUCAAAGAGUGCGUAAUAGCUCACUAGUCGAGAGGUCCUGCGCCGAAAAUGUCCGGGGCUGAAACACGACACCGAAGCACAGGAUACCG